rnacentral:tRNA from 1 species
GCGUGGCCUGGACGGGCUUGCGGUCCAGGCGGCCGGUGACCGUCAACGUCUGCCCGGCGGCCAGGUUCAGCGCCUGGGCGACGGUC